rnacentral:tRNA from 2 species
GCUCCCUUCGUCUAGCGGUCAGGACGCUGGCCUCUCACGCCGGAAACAGGGGUUCGAUUCCCCUAGGGAGCG